rnacentral:rRNA from 1 species
AACCUUUACAAUGCACGCAAGUGUGAUAAGGGAAUCCCAAGUGCUCAAGCAUUGCUUGGGCUUUUGCUAUGUGUAAACAGCAUGGCGAAUAAGUGGUGGGAAAGACUGGUGCCAGCCGCCGCGGUAACACCAGCGCCACGAGUGGCAAUCACGUUUAUUGGGCCUAAAGCGUCCGUAGCAGGUUUCGUAAAUCUCUUGUGAAAUUGCCAAGCCUAACUUGGCAGACUGCAGGGGACACUGCGAGACUCGAGACCGGGAGGGGUUAGAAGUAUUCCUUAGGGAGCGGUAAAAUGCUAUAAUCUAAGGAGGGCUACCUGUGGCGAAGGCGUCUAACUAGAACGGAUCUGACUGUGAGGGACGAAAGCUAGGGGAGCGAACCGGAUUAGAUACCCGAGUAGUCCUAGCCGUAAACGCUGUGAGCUAGGUGUCGCGUAUUCUACGUGAAUGCGCGGUGUCGAAAGGAAGCUAUUAAGCUCACCGCCUGGGAAGUACGGUCGCAAGACUGAAACUUUAAGGAAUUGGCGGGGGAGCAC